AUGCCGAACCAAAUUUAAAAUGGAAGCAGAAGAAGAAGGGGAAGAGAAGGAGGAAGAAGAAGAGAAGAAGGAGAAGGGAGGAGGAGAAAGGAGAGAAAAACGUGGGGGAAGGAAAUUCUUAAUUCUUCAUUAAACCCUAAUCAUGAAAAUAGUUCCCUAUAUAUAGGGCCCAAAUACACAAUUUGCAUAAACCCCCUUACACAGAAAUAAAUCCUAAUAAACCCACAAAUAACACAAAUAAACCACAAAUAAGCCCUAAAAUGCAAAUAAGCCCAGAAAUAAAAUAAACCACAAAUAAACCCUAGAAUGCAAAUAAGCUCAGAAAUAAAAUAAUAAAAUAAAUAUGCAAAUAAACGGGUCUGACUCAAUCCGGGGGCUCAGGAUCAUCUGGAUGAAGGGCUCUGAUGUCCCCAUCAG
rnacentral:lncRNA from 1 species